AUUGAACGCUGGCGGCAGGCCUAACACAUGCAAGUCGAGCGGAUGAAGGGAGCUUGCUCCUGGAUUCAGCGGCGGACGGGUGAGUAAUGCCUAGGAAUCUGCCUGGUAGUGGGGGAUAACGUCCGGAAACGGGCGCUAAUACCGCAUACGUCCUGAGGGAGAAAGUGGGGGAUCUUCGGACCUCACGCUAUCAGAUGAGCCUAGGUCGGAUUAGCUAGUUGGUGGGGUAAAGGCCUACCAAGGCGACGAUCCGUAACUGGUCUGAGAGGGUGAUCAGUCACACUGGAGCUGGGACACGGUCAAGAGUCCUACGGGAGGCAGCAGUGGGGAAUAUUGGACAAUGGGCGAAAGACUGAUCCAGCCAUGCCGCGUGUGUGAAGAAGGUCUUCGGAUUGUAAAGCACAUUAAGUUGGGAGGAAGAGCAGUAAGUUAAUACCUUGCUGUCUUGACGUUACCAACAGAAUAAGCACCGGCUAACUUCGUG
rnacentral:rRNA from 1 species